UGAAAAGCCCAAGAAUGGUGAACAUAAAGAGU
rnacentral:piRNA from 1 species